rnacentral:lncRNA from 1 species
UUAAUAGUUUCCAACCGACAAAAAUCACUAGAUCCUUAAUCGAAUUUACGCGAAGAAAGGUAUAAUCUCAUUCCAGGCCCAAUGAACCAUGUAAGUGAACCACUAAGGCGUCGCUAAACAUGUAAAUCAUUUAAAGGCCCAAAUUGGAAUGAAAUUAUAUAACAUGGGCCCAAAAUAUAUAUAUGAAAGGACAACUAAGGCCCAUCUCACAUGUAAGGUAUUUAUAGGCCCAAAAAGCACACAAAUAGUUUCCAAGGUCUGUUGCACAUGUUAAUGGGUCAAUGUGGCCCAAUAAACAUAUAAAUUGUAUAUAGGACCUAUCACACAUAAAAAUGGGCCACUAAGGCCCAAUAAUCUAGAAAAGGAUCAAAAUAAUCCGUUUGUUGGUUAUUGUUGGUUUUGUUUCAAGUAUUCACUAAAAAAAGCAAAAGAAAGAAGAACACAUAUAAAACUCAUUUCUAGGCCCAAUAAACAUGUAAGUGGACCACUAAGGCCCAUUAUACGUGUCUAUUAUUUCCAGGCUCAAAGGAAUAUGAAUGUCUAUCCUAAGCCCAUUAUACAUGUAAAAGGACCUAAGGCCCANGUAAAAGGACACUAAGGCCCACUAA